rnacentral:lncRNA from 1 species
GUACUCAUAUGUAUAAUUCAUUUUAACUUCUUAUCCGAAUUCGGAUAACAACCAAGACAAUUUAAUAUUAAAUUUAGAUAUACUUUUCCCAAUUUGGAUAAGGAUACUCAUUGCAUACUUAAUUUUCUGAGGUAAGCAAUCUAUACUGCUUAUCCGAAUUUGGAUAAGAGCAGUUAUUUCUCCUUGGUAAUGUUUUUUUCUAUUUUAUCCGAAUUCGGAUAACAUUAGUUUUUUGUUGAUGUGUACAUUGUCGAUCUUAUAUUCCUUAGCUUAAUAGUGAGUAUUCGAGAAUUCAUGUUCUUUUUUUAUAAAUAAAAAGGUGACCUAUCAAAGUUCUUAUAUCAGAAUUUUCGCUUAUCCGAAACACCCAUUUACUUGAGCAUAUGGAAAUGCUCAAAAGCAACUGGAAGCUGUU